UCCGCCAUCGCCUGGCCCAUUCGCCUAUUCCGCCACCGCCACCGCCACCGCCAGUCUAUUCUGGAAGUCGCAGCAGCCAGCGCCCAUCUGCCCUCCACAGUCGCAACAGCCCUCCGCCGUCACAGUCGCACCAGGUCGCCGGUCGCCCCUCUCGGAGGCUCGGACUCUCGCUGUUCACCGUUCGCUCCUCUAGGAGGCUCGGACGCUCAUUGGUCGUCGGCGUUCUCCUUUGUGCAGCAGCGCAACCGGCGUCAUCCGUAUAGCAGAAGAAAAAGUAUACUUCAAAAAAUGAACCUGAGCAGAAUGGGAUUGCAAAGCUAGAACUGCUCUGUUUGAUGGUAUUGAGGAAGGUGGCAUUAGGGCUUCAUUAUCGUACUCUUCUCAUGAGAUUGAUGAACAUGAGAAUGAAAAAGCACUGGAAGGACUGCAAGAUAGAGUCAAUUUGCUGAAAAGAGUUAGUUGAGAUGCUGGAUGGUUACUAGAAGAAAGAAAAUGAAAUUGAUAGGAUGAAAGAAAGAAAAUGACGGCAUGCAGAUUGAGCUCAGAGCAGUUUGUUAACCAUACCAGCUACAGGAAGAUCAUUGGAGCGAUCUCCUGCUAGUUGAAGAUUCUCAACCUGUCAAUUCAGUUGCCAAUCUUGACUGCACACUUCCUCCUGUGAUCCAAUGUUGGUGACAGUAUGGAGAGAUGUAUUAGUUUGGAGAUUGAAUCAGAAGUUCAAUUCAUGAA